AAUUCUUCCUAAACCUAUCCAGCUUCCACCUGUCUCCUCGAGCGGCGCCAUGGCCCUCGCGUCCUCCUCUCCAUUCCCAGCGCCGCUCCGGCGCACCAUCUCCAUCCGGUCCUCCUCCUCCAUCCCAUCUCGCGGGUGGACACAGAUCGACGCUCACGACUGCCGCAUCGGCGAGCUCGCCGGUGGGAGACUGAUAGAGCAGCGUCGAUCCAACAUGACGCCAUGCGGUGGCCAUCGAUGAGCCACGGAGGGCUGCAGAUCGAUGCCGCCGUGGCUGCGGCUUCCCACCAAGCGAGCUGCGUCUCCACCCGGACUACGGGACGGCUUGCCCAUGGCUUCCUCGCAUGGCCCUGAGAGGCCUCGUCCUCUUGAUGGUUGCCACCGUCCGCAGGAUGCUACUGAUCUCCAUAUUAGUUGAAGCAGAGUUGCAACAGCUCUUCACAUUUGGUUGGUUGUAGGCAAGAUGCAGAGGAUGGAAGCGACACACGACGGCGAUGCAAAAGGCAUGGCGGUUCAGUCCCGGACGUUCACCGCUUGGCUCGGCUUCGACUAGUUGAUCUCCCUGGAGGAGAUUUUGGUGGUGUCCUUAGUUCCCGCAAAGUUCCUAUUGCCGGCUGCUGCGUCCUCCGUGAGGCCGCUUUGCUGCGGGACGGCACGACAUCUAGUCUCCAUCCUUGCGGUCUCCGCCAACAUCCGCGCCGGAAAUAAGGCCACGCCCGUCGAGGCCACGCAGCCGGUGAGACAUCUCAUCAUUCGUCUUCAGCGCUUGUUACAGGACGCUCCACAGGUGUAGAAAGUAAGUUGGCGGCGCUAAUUUACUAGUUCAUGAUUGGAUUCUGCUAGUUGUCGUUUGUAGAAUCAUG